AAAUUUUUAAUUAAAUACAACUUGAAUGUACUGUCAAAUUUUGAACAGUAUUAUUGCACCUCAAAAGGAGUAAGAGCGAGUUUUGAUACAAAACAAAUCAGGCUGGGGGUCACAUAGUGGCUGAAAAUGUAGGCAGGGGGACAUGCUUUAACAUCCUAAAAUCAUGUUGAACUUAUUGGGUCAGUCCACUUGUGGUUUUUUGUUUGAGUUAUUCAAACGCGUUUCGGCAUUGUGCUAUCUUCCAUGAGAAACGCAUCAGCUACUAUCCUAAAAUUAGUCCCAGAAAGGUUGACGUCUGAUGGUUCUGCAACAAAAAGGUUCAGGGGCAAUAAAUAUCCUCAUAAUACUUUCCUUCGCCUAUUUAUCAGUCUCCUUAUUUUCCCUUUGUCCUGUGAGCCUUGUACCCAAACAAGGAUAAUUUUGUGUUGUCCUCAAUGUUGACCCGGCCUUAUCCCAAAUGGCUGGACUUUACUAUUGAUGAGGUAGUCACUUUUAGGGCUACCUAUUCUUUUGUUGUUAAUACCCAUCGAGAUCUUCCUGGCAUAAUGUUCUUGAUUCUUGGCUAAGCCUUAUGUGAAUUCUAGUCCUUGGUUUAUUUCCAUAGAUACCAGACAUCUCCUGACAGGAAUUCAUCAUCAGAGGACCUCCUACAAAUCACCACCACCAAGAUCUAAGACCCAACGCUACCAUGUUUCUCCGCUCUAUGAAGACUGAAGAUAAGCAAUAAAUCUGAUUGCAAGCCCCUUAAAUUGGAACAAUUAAUUAAACUUUUUUGUGAAUGGGCCUCAGGAGCAUCUGGUGGAUGCGAAAUUUGAACUGUCAAGUGCAAAAGGUUUGCUUAACAGAUGAACUUAAAAGACUGCCUGCCUGACAUUUAUGUUGGUUAUCUCACUAGAAUAAAACCAAUAGUUUUGCCAAAACUAACUAUAAAACAUCCUGUAUGCGGCUGAGAGACCUUGGCAUUGAGAGUGAAAUAUUUGAUCUGUUGUCAGCAGUCUUUUGAGUUGUUUACAUCGUUGGUGAAGGGCGAAAGUUAUUUGCUAGGAUUUGGUGUUGUUGAGCCUCAUCCUCCAUUUCUUGAACCAUUCUUCAAAAGAUUAUGGUCCCUGUUGUUUUGUGAAGGAUGCUGCUUGUAUGCUGCCUUGCAGAAUACCCGGUUGGACACCCAGAUGGAAUUUUAAGACGAAGUAAAUAAGUGAGUGGAAGAAUGCCGUUGGGCCACAUUCCCAACGUUCAUUCCACUCAAGGGAAACAUGUUUUGAGAGAUUACAAAUAAAUGUCGUUAAACUAACCUAAAUAUGCUAAUUGUCAUCUCUUUGUGAUUUACAUUGUACUAACAAUGUGCCUGCUUUUUCAUUCUCGUUUCAUAAUGCAAAAUGUGUACAAUUA